rnacentral:rRNA from 1 species
GACGAACGCUGGCGGCGUGCUUAACACAUGCAAGUCGAACGGAAAGGCCCUGCUUUUGUGGGGUGCUCGAGUGGCGAACGGGUGAGUAACACGUGAGUAACCUGCCCUUGACUUUGGGAUAACUUCAGGAAACUGGGGCUAAUACCGGAUAUGAGCUCCUGCUGCAUUGUGGGGGUUGGAAAGUUUCGGCAGUUGGGGAUGGACUCGCGGCUUAUCAGCUUGUUGGUGGGGUAGUGGCUUACCAAGGCUUUGACGGGUAGCCGGACUGAGAGGGUGACCGGCGACAUUGGGACUGAGAUACGGCACAGACGCCAACGGGAGGCAGCAGUGGGGAAUAUUGCACAAUGGGCGGAAGCCUGAUGAAGCAACGCCGCGUGCGGGAUGACGGCCUUCGGGUUGUAAACCGCUUUCGCCUGUGACGAAGCGUGAGUGACGGUAAUGGGUAAAGAAGCACCGGCUAACUACGUG